CAGGAGCCAACGACAGCUGUCUGCAGGCAAGAGACUAACUCCAGUGGGACCACAUGAGUAGCACUGAAGUUUUCAAAGGUCUUCCUUUAAAAUAAGCCCAAGGGUUUACCUCUGACCCCGCUGAACGGGGAAAAUGGUA